CACAUGUUUCACGGGGCUGUUACUGGGAUUUUGCCAAAGCUAUGCAUGCAGAUAAACGUCUGCUCCUGAACCACCUCCCCAUUGUGAUGUAAAAAAGCGUUUCACGUCCCAGAUUUCAUCCUGAAUAGGAUUCCACAUCGGUUCCGGUGUUCGGUGCUGUGCAGCGAUGCCUCUUGGAAGACAAAUGCAGUUUAUGUUAUUGUUCAGCCGUCAGGGAAAGCUACGGCUUCAGAAGUGGUAUGUGCCGCUGUCUGACAAAGAAAAGAAGAAGAUCACCAGGGAGCUGGUCCAGACUGUAUUAGCCCGCAAGCCGAAAAUGUGCAGCUUCCUGGAAUGGAGAGAUCUGAAGAUUGUCUACAAAAGGUAUGCUAGCCUUUAUUUCUGCUGUGCCAUUGAGGACCAGGACAAUGAACUAAUUACCCUGGAAAUAAUUCACCGUUACGUGGAGCUUUUGGACAAGUAUUUUGGCAGUGUGUGUGAACUUGACAUCAUCUUUAAUUUUGAGAAAGCCUAUUUUAUCCUGGAUGAAUUUUUGUUGGGGGGAGAAGUUCAAGAAACCUCAAAGAAAAAUGUCCUUAAAGCCAUCGAGCAGGCAGACCUGCUACAGGAGACCCAAACUGAAGACUGGGGAGGUUAUUCAGAUGAUAUUUUGUGAUAAAGAACCCUCUGAGGGCUUUGCGUGUUGAACCAUUCUCCAUGCAAUCGUCCCGCCACGAGUACUUUAAUGUGCCUGUGUACUAAAUGGCGACACUCAUCACGCAUGCAGAUUAUCUGAGGAGUCUGGCCGGGAUGCAGCAUGGCAAACCAUGUCCUGCGUUUGUGAAACCACCCAUCAUACUGUUGUAUGAAGUUUUCAUCAUGUAUGUGAAAUGUUUGUAUCCAUUCAUGUUCCAUGUCUAUUGCCUGCAUACAUUUUUUUUUAUUUUUUUUGUGUGCCAGUUUGAAUUUGGUUAUAUUUUAUUCAAUUUUCAUGUCUUUGGGUUGCCCCUUUAAUUGCCCAAAACAACAAACCAUCCUUUGUAUGCUCAGGUUUCUAAUUCCAUUGAUGUAUGUAAUUUAUAGGCCAUACACUUGCAUGAUAUUAUGCCACAUUAGCAUAUCUACGGUGAUCAACAGUGAAUUGACCCUUUCAGUUCUAGAGGGUUGUAAGAUAGUAGUCCCCCUGUCUCUAUUGGCCAGGGGUGUUAAUUUAUAAAUGAGUAUUAUUUUAGUGAAGUUUUGCUGUUAAUAUUUUACUAAUUGUUAAUUCCGAAUGUUUUACUUAUGCUACAGAAAAUAUUUAACUGUACGUGCAACUUAUGCAUUAGUUUGUUGGACAUUCUAACUGUCUGAGUUUAUCCUGUCUGGAAGCUCAAUAUGUAAAUAUAUAACAUAUAAAGAAUAGUGUUUUUUUUGGA